rnacentral:rRNA from 1 species
UACAGAGGUCUCGAGCGUUGUUCGGAUUCAUUGGGCGUAAAGGGUGCGUAGGUGGCGCCGUAAGUCGGGUGUGAAAUUUCGGAGCUUAACUCCGAAACUGCAUUCGAUACUGCGGUGCUUGAGGACUGGAGAGGAGACUGGAAAUUCAUGGUGUAGCAGUGAAAUGCGUAGAGAUCAUGAGGAAGACCAGUGGCGAAGGCGGCCUUCUGGACAGUGACUGACGCUGAGACGCGAAAGCGUGGGGAGCAAACAGG